AUUGAACGCUGGCGGCAGGCCUAACACAUGCAAGUCGAGCGAGCGGCGGACGGGUGAGUAAUGUCUGGGAAACUGCCUGAUGGAGGGGGAUAACUACUGGAAACGGUAGCUAAUACCGCAUACCAUCAGAUGUGCCAAGAUGGGAUUAGCUAGUAGGUGGGGUAACGGCUCACCUAGGCGACGAUCCCUAGCUGGUCUGAGAGGAUGACCAGCCAAUCUGAAACUGAAACACGGUCCGUACGCCUACGUGAGGCAGCAGUGGGGAAUAUUGCACAAUGGGCGCAAGCCUGAUGCAGCAUUGCCGCGUGGGUGAAGAAUGCCUUCGGGUUGUAAAGCACUGUCAGCGGGGAGGCGUUACCCGAAGAAGAAGCACCGGCUAACUCCGUGCCAGCAGCCGCGGUAAUAC
rnacentral:rRNA from 1 species